AUUGAACGCUGGCGGCAGGCCUAACACAUGCAAGUCGAGCGGCAGCGCGGGGAAGCUUGCUUUCCUGGCGGCGAGCGGCGGACGGGUGAGUAACGCGUGGGAAUCUGCCCAGUAGCGGGGGAUAACCCGGGGAAACUCGGGCUAAUACCGCAUACGCCCUACGGGGGAAAGAGGGGGACCUUCGGGCCUCUCGCGCUAAGAUUAGCCCAGGUGGGAUUAGCUAGUUGGUGAGGUAAAGGCUCACCAAGGCAACGAUCCCUAGCUGGUCUGAGAGGAUGAUCAGUCACACUGGAACUGAGAUACGGUCCAGACUCCUACGGGAGGCAGCAGUGGGGAAUAUUGGACAAUGGGGGAAACCCUGAUCCAGCGAUGCCGCGUGUGUGAAGAAGGCCUGCGGGUUGUAAAGCACUUUCAGUAGAGAAGAAAAGCUCUCGGUUAAUACCCGGGGGUCUUGACGUAACCUACAGAAGAAGGACCGGCUAACUCCGUG
rnacentral:rRNA from 1 species